UACGUAGGGUGCGAGCGUUGUCCGGAAUUAUUGGGCGUAAAGAGCUUGUAGGCGGUUUGUCGCGUCUGCUGUGAAAAUCCGGGGCUCAACCCCGGACUUGCAGUGGGUACGGGCAGACUAGAGUGCGGUAGGGGAGACUGGAAUUCCUGGUGUAGCGGUGAAAUGCGCAGAUAUCAGGAGGAACACCGGUGGCGAAGGCGGGUCUCUGGGCCGUAACUGACGCUGAGGAGCGAAAGCGUGGGGAGCGAACGG
rnacentral:rRNA from 1 species